rnacentral:rRNA from 1 species
GAUGAACGCUAGCGGGAGGCCUAACACAUGCAAGCCGAGCGGUAUUGUUUCUUCGGAAAUGAGAGAGCGGCGUACGGGUGCGGAACACGUGUGCAACCUGCCUUUAUCUGGGGGAUAGCCUUUCGAAAGGAAGAUUAAUACUCCAUAAUAUAUUGAACGGCAUCGUUUAAUAUUGAAAGCUCCGGCGGAUAGAGAUGGGCACGCGCAAGAUUAGCUAGUUGGUGAGGUAACGGCUCACCAAGGCGAUGAUCUCUAGGGGGCCUGAGAGGGUGAUCCCCCACACUGGUACUGAGACACGGACCAGACUCCUACGGGAGGCAGCAGUGAGGAAUAUUGGUCAAUGGGUGCAAGCCUGAACCAGCCAUCCCGCGUGAAGGACGACAGCCCUAUGGGUUGUAAACUUCUUUUGUAUAGGGAUAAACCUACCCUCGUGAGGGUAGCUGAAGGUACUAUACGAAUAAGCACCGGCUAACUCCGUGCCAGCAGCCGCGGUAAUACGGAGGGUGCAAGCGUUAUCCGGAUUUAUUGGGUUUAAAGGGUCCGUAGGCGGACUUAUAAGUCAGUGGUGAAAGCCUGUCGCUUAACGAUAGAACUGCCACUGAUACUGUAAGUCUUGAGUAUAUUUGAGGUAGCUGGAAUAAGUAGUGUAGCGGUGAAAUGCAUAGAUAUUACUUAGAACACCAAUUGCGAAGGCAGGUUACCAAGAUAUAACUGACGCUGAGGGACGAAAGCGUGGGGAACGAACAGGAUUAGAUACCCUGGUAGUCCACGCCGUAAACGAUGCUAACUCGUUUUUGGGCUUUAGGGUUCAGAGACCAAGCGAAAGUGAUAAGUUAGCCACCUGGGGAGUACGCUCGCAAGAGUGAAACUCAAAGGAAUUGACGGGGGCCCGCACAAGCGGUGGAUUACGUGGUUUAAUUCGAUGAUACGCGAGGAACCUUACCAAGACUUAAAUGGGAAUUGACAGCUUUAGAAAUAGAGCUUUCUUCGGACAAUUUUCAAGGUGCUGCAUGGUUGUCGUCAGCUCGUGCCGUGAGGUGUUAGGUUAAGUCCUGCAACGAGCGCAACCCCUGUCACUAGUUGCCAUCAUUCAGUUGGGGACUCUAGUGAGACUGCCUACGCAAGUAGAGAGGAAGGUGGGGAUGACGUCAAAUCAUCACGGCCCUUACGUCUUGGGCCACACACGUAAUACAAUGGCCGGUACAGAGGGCAGCUACACAGCGAUGUGAUGCAAAUCUCGAAAGCCGGUCUCAGUUCGGAUUGGAGUCUGCAACUCGACUCUAUGAAGCUGGAAUCGCUAGUAAUCGCGCAUCAGCCAUGGCGCGGUGAAUACGUUCCCGGGCCU